GCAGGGGUAGCAAAGCCUGGUCAAACGCGCUAGCUUGAGGGGCUAGUCACUUAGGUGUUCGUGGGUUCAAAUCCCUCCCCCUGCA
rnacentral:tRNA from 1 species